rfam:Lasius niger Lnig_2.1_9711, whole genome shotgun sequence.
CAAUCGGCCCUUUUCAGGGCCACACAUGCAAAUCCAAAAAUAAUUAU